UGGUGGACCAUAACCCCGGGAAACUGGGGAUAAUACUGGAUAAGUCAGGUGUACUGGAAUGUCUCGUAACUGAAACUUGCGGCGCCAUAGGAUGAAUCUGCGGCCGAUUACCUAGUUGUUGGCCUAACGGCCCAACAAGCGGGUAAUCGGUACGGGUUCUGGGAGCAAGAGCCCGGACAUGGAAUGUGAGACACGAUUGGAGGCCCUACGGGCAGCACCCGCGAAAACUUUACAAAGCAGGAAACUGUGAUAAGGGAACCCCGAGUGCCCGUACACGCGGGCUGUCCCGGUCUUUAAAACACAUCGGAAGAAAGGGCCGGGCAAGACCGGUGCCAGCCGCCGCGGUAAUACCGGCCUCGAGUGGUGAGGACUUUUAUUGGGCUUAAAGCGUUCGUAGCUUGAUUUUUAAGUCUCUUGGGAAAUCUCACGGCUUAACUGUGAGGCGUCUAAGAGAUAGUGGGAAUCUAGGGACCGGGAGAGGUAAGAGGUACUUCAGGGGUAGAAGUGAAAUUCUCUAAACCUUGAGGGACCACCGAUGGCGAAGGCAUCUUAGGAGAACGGCUUCGACAGUGAGGAACGAAAGCUGGGGGAGCGAACGGGAUUACAUACCCCGGUACUCCCAGCCGUAAACUAUGCGCCUUAGGUGUGCCUGUAACUACCAGUUACCGGGGUGCCGAAGUGAAAACGUCAAACGUGCCGCCUGGGAAGUACGGUCGCAAGGCUGAAACUUAAACCAAUUGGCGGGGGAGCACCACAACGGGUGGAGCCUGCGGUUUAAUUGGACUCAACGCCGGGCAGCUGACCGGAUAGGAGAGCGGAAUGAUAGCCGGGCUGAAGACCUUGGUUGACCAGCUGAGAGGAGGUGCAUGGCCGUCGUCAGUUCGUACUGUGAAGCAUGGUGUUUAGUCAGGCAACCAGCGAGACCCACGCCAACAGUUGCUAGCAUGUUG
rnacentral:rRNA from 1 species